rnacentral:rRNA from 1 species
UACGGAGGAUCCAAGCGUUAUCCGGAAUCAUUGGGUUUAAAGGGUCCGUAGGCGGUUUGGUAAGUCAGUGGUGAAAGCCCAUCGCUCAACGGUGGAACGGCCAUUGAUACUGCCAGACUUGAAUUACUGGGAAGUAACUAGAAUAUGUAGUGUAGCGGUGAAAUGCUUAGAGAUUACAUGGAAUACCAAUUGCGAAGGCAGGUUACUACCAGUGGAUUGACGCUGAUGGACGAAAGCGUGGGUAGCGAACAGG